GACGAACGCUGGCGGCGUGCUUAACACAUGCAAGUCGAACGGAAAGGCCCCUUUGGGGGUACUCGAGUGGCGAACGGGUGAGUAACACGUGAGUAACCUGCCCUUGACUUCGGGUUAACUUCAGGAAACUGGGGCUAAUACCGGAUAGGAAUCCUUGCUGCAUGGUGGGGGUUGGAAAGCUUCGGCGGGUUUGGAUGGACUCGCGGCUUAUCAGGUUGCUGGUGGGGUAGUGGCUUACCAAGGCUUUGACGGGUAGCCGGCCUGAGAGGGCGACCGGCCACAUUGGGACUGAGAUACGGCCCAGACUCCUACGGGAGGCAGCAGUGGGGAAUAUUGCACAAUGGGCGGAAGCCUGAUGCAGCAACGCCGCGUGCGGGAUGACGGCCUUCGGGUUGUAAACCGCUUUCAGCAGGGGCGAAGCUUGUGGUGACGGUACCUGCAGAAGAAGCACCGGCUAACUACGUG
rnacentral:rRNA from 1 species